GCUGAAACAUCGCUUCCUGUACGAUCACCGAAGUUAAGCAACGUCGAGACUGGUCAGUACCUAAACGGGUGACCACUUUGGAAUACCAGGUGCUGUAA